GUCCACGCCGUAAACGAUGAGAGCUAGCCGUUGGGAAGUUUACUUUUCAGUGGCGCAGCUAACGCAUUAAGCUCUCCGCCUGGGGAGUACGGUCGCAAGAUUAAAACUCAAAUGAAUUGACGGGGGCCCGCACAAGCGGUGGAGCAUGUGGUUUAAUUCGAAGCAACGCGAAGAACCUUACCAGCUCUUGACAUACCUAUCGCAGUCUCCAGAGACGGAGACCUUCAGUUCGGCUGGAUAGGAUACAGGUGCUGCACGGCU
rnacentral:rRNA from 1 species